rnacentral:rRNA from 1 species
UACGUAGGGGGCAAGCGUUGUCCGGAUUUAUUGGGCGGAAAGCGCGCGUAGGCGGCGCGGUAUGUCGUGCGUGAAAUCUCCCGGCUUAACUGGGAGGGGCCGUGCGAAACUGCCGGGCUUGAGGUCGGAAGGGGAAAGUGGAAUUCCGGGUGUAGCGGUGAAAUGCGCAGAGAUCGGGAGGAACACCCGUAGCGAAGGCGGCAUCCUGGACCAUAACUGACACUGAUAAGCGAAAGCCAGGGGAGCAAACGGG